rnacentral:rRNA from 1 species
GACGAACGCUGGCGGCGUGCCUAACACAUGCAAGUCGAACGAGAAAUAUGAUAUUGAUUCCUUCGGGAUGAUUUAGAUUAUGGACAGUGGCGGACGGGCGAGUAACGCGUGAGUAACCUGCCCAUAAGAGAGGGAUAGCCGAUGGAAACGUCGAGUAAUACCUCAUAUUGUAAUUUAAUCGCAUGGUUGAAUUAUGAAAGAUUUAUCGCUUAUGGAUGGACUCGCGUCUGAUUAGAUAGUUGGUGAGGUAACGGCUCACCAAGUCGACGAUCAGUAGCCGAACUGAGAGGUUGAUCGGCCGCAUUGGGACUGAGACACGGCCCAGACUCCUACGGGAGGCAGCAGUGGGGAAUAUUGCGCAAUGGGGGGAACCCUGACGCAACAACGCCGCGUGCAGGAAGAAGGUCUUCGGAUUGUAAACUGUUGUCGCAAGGGAAGAAGAAAGUGACGGUACCUUGUGAGAAAGUCACGGCUAACUAC